rnacentral:misc_RNA from 1 species
AGCAGCCGCGGUAAUUCCAGCUCCAAUAGCGUAUAUUAAAGUUGCUGCAGUUAAAAAGCUCGUAGUUGAAUUUCGGGACUAAUAUGUCGGUCGUGCCUCGGUACGUACUGGUUUAUUGGUUUCUCCUUUCUGAAGAACCAUGAUGUCAUUUAUUUGGUGUCGUGGGGAAUCAGGACUGUUACUUUGAAAAAAUUAGAGUGUUUAAAGCAGGCUCACGCUUGAAUACAUUAGCAUGGAAUAAUGAAAUAGGACGUUUGAUUCUAUUUUGUUGGUUUCUAGGAUCGACGUAAUGAUUAAUAGGGAUAGUUGGGGGCAUUAGUAUUCAAUUGUCAGAGGUGAAAUUCUUGGAUUUAUUGAAGACUAACUACUGCGAAAGCAUUUGCCAAGGAUGUUUUCAUUAAUCAAGAACGAAAGUUAGGGGAUCGAAGACGAUCAGAUACCGUCGUAGUCUUAACCAUAAACUAUGCCGACUAGGGAUCGGAUGAUGUUAAUUUUUUAAUGACUCAUUCGGCGCCUUAC